UACGGAGGAUGCAAGCGUUAUCCGGAUUCAUUGGGUUUAAAGGGUGCGUAGGCGGACUAUUAAGUCAGUGGUGAAAGCCUGCAGCUUAACUGCAGAAUUGCCGUUGAUACUGGUAGUCUUGAGUUUGGUUAAGGUAGGCGGAAUGUGUAAUGUAGCGGUGAAAUGCUUAGAUAUUACACAGAACACCAAUUGCGUAGGCAGCUUACUGAGCCGACACUGACGCUGAGGCACGAAAGCGUGGGGAUCGAACAGGAUUAGA
rnacentral:rRNA from 1 species